CGAUCGGGAGGAGGAGUCGGAGUCUAUCGAGCCGUCCGAUCCCGAAGAGGGGGCAGGUGAAGGUGGCCAUCGCGGUGGGGCUGGCCCACUCCGUCGCCGCUUUCUUCGCCCGGGCUCCCGUCCCCCGGCUCACCCGGUCCGCUUCCUGACGCCCGUCGCUCCCCGGAGAGGUGGGGAGGGGGGGAAUCGCUCAUCCUGUCACUUCCAGUGGCUCUUCUUAGUUUCACACACAACUUCUUGCUUGGUUCCUUAAGAAACAUCCAACUCCAACCUUUUAUUUCGGUUUCUAGUUCUGCGAAAUUUUGUUAAUAAAUAAAGUCCCAGUUAGAUGUGAAAGAAAAUGACACCCUCAUAAAGAGAUCGAGCCUCCCCUUUCCAAUAUCCGAAUUCUUUAUCUACUCUCUCUCAUCCAAAGGUUUUCAUACCUUCUACUGCAAUGCAAGGAGAUCCUUCUUGUUUGAUGCAUGGGAAGCUGGGGAUGUAACAAUACCAUAUUCCUCUCUAACGGCUUAUUAAAAUCCAGACCACAAAACGUAUCUGAAAUGUUAGUGAAAACCCAAGGUCUCGAUGCACGGAGCUCACUCCAAUAGAGUUGAGGACAGAACAAACUGGAACCAUCUCUGAUCGCGCAUUCAUCUUUUCUUUGAUGGAUGAGCCAUGUGAAAUUUUUUAAUAAUAAAAUUAAAGUGUGGAGACACAGUUUGAACUCAGCAUCAUAUUAUGUUAAAAUCAACAUUUAUCUUAAAAACUUAAAUUUAUAGAAUGAAAUAGAUGUAUUAUAUAUUUUAUAUUUUUUACCGAACUCGGAGCUUGUGUGGGUUGAAAGCCACAACAAAUGACACCAUUUGUCUUCUAGCCGUAGUUACAGUGAAUGCUAUCAACAAUCACUGGCUAUCUAGAGUGCAAUCAACAAAAGAUAAGAAGCUCAUAAAAAAGAGAAACACAUCGAGCUUCCUUCGGUCAGCUAACUAAUGUUCAUCU
rnacentral:lncRNA from 1 species